AAAAAAAAAAAAAAAAACAAUAACAAAACAAGAAAGUGAUAGCACCACUCCAGUGGGUAUUUCCAUGAAUGACACGAAGUGUGAAGAAACCAUUAUAUUUUCUGGGGUUUGAAGUCAACAAGUAUCUCUCUGAAUAAGCUGCUGCUAAUAUCCUUACAAAUGCACACUCUUUGGAAUUCAACAGUCAACCAAUAUCCUUAAAUAAACUGCUAAAACAGCCAUGCACUUGCAAUAAAUUGGCCCUCAUAUUUAAUAGGGAGUAGCACACGCUAAUCGCCUGUCCUUAUAGAGAGUAAGGCCUUUGCAUCCCUUUUUCUUUGACCUCUUUAUUCUCCUACUCUUUUGCUAGUCAUUUGUUAUAUUCUACUUUCACUGUGAGUUCUCACAAUAAUGCAGCUGUUAUUCAACUUUUGUCAACUUACAAAAUACACUAGGAUAACCCUGUUUUGUGAUAAAGCAACAGGAAUUUGCUUUAUGUCCUUGUUUCUCUUUGCUUAUUUGGAAAGAAUAUGUAUCCAGAUAUCAUCGACAAGGUUAUGCUGCAUCAGAUAAUAAGUUUCCUCACAUAAAAUGUUUCCUACACUAGAUACAAGUCAAAACAAAAGAGAUAACAUAUAUGAAUCCAAACUUUCACACUGGAAUACCUAAUAUAUUGACACUGAUAUUGAUUCAAGGAUCUGUUUAGGACAAGAUAAUGUAAAAAUGAACUUCAACCUUGAAAAAUCCCAAUGUUAAAUUGAAGUGAACAAUCCAAGCAGCAGUUGAUUUUUCCAUACCUGG
rnacentral:misc_RNA from 1 species